rnacentral:rRNA from 1 species
CCUACGGGAGGCAGCAGUGAGGAAUAUUGGUCAAUGGGCGUAAGCCUGAACCAGCCAAGCCGCGUGAGGGUUGAAGGUUCUAUGGAUCGUAAACCUCUUUUAUAAGGGAAUAAAGUGUGGGACGUGUCCUAUUUUGUAUGUACCUUAUGAAUAAGGAUCGGCGAACUCCGUGCCAGCAGCCGCGGUAAUACGGAGGAUCCGAGCUUUAGCCGGAUUUAUUGGGUUUAAAGGGUGCGUAGGCGGCCUUUUAAGUCAGCGGUGAAAGUCUGUGGCUCAACCAUAGAAUUGCCGUUGAAACUGGGGGGCUUGAGUGUGGUUGAGGCAGGCGGAAUGCGUGGUGUAGCGGUGAAAUGCUUAGAUAUCACGCAGAACCCCGAUUGCGAAGGCAGCCUGCGAAGCCAUGACUGACGCUGAUGCACGAAAGCGUGGGGAUCAAACAGGAUUAGAUACCCCGGUAGUC